rnacentral:siRNA from 1 species
UAUGACUGUGUCGUCUCACUGC